rnacentral:rRNA from 1 species
AACGUAGGAGGCGAGCGUUAUCCGGAUUUACUGGGUGUAAAGCGCAUGCAGGCGGUUCGCUAAGUUGGAUGUGAAAGCUCCCGGCUUAACUGGGAGAGGUCGUACAAGACUGGCGAACUAGAGGAUGGGAGAGGAAAGCGGAAUUCCGGGUGUAGUGGUGAAAUGCGUAGAUAUCCGGAGGAACACCAGUGGCGAAAGCGGCUUUCUAGACCAUGACUGACGCUCAGAUGCGAAAGCUAGGGUAGCAAACGGG